rnacentral:rRNA from 1 species
UACGUAGGGUGCAAGCGUUGUCCGGAAUUAUUGGGCGUAAAGAGCUCGUAGGCGGCUUGAUAAGUCGGAUGUGAAACCUCCAGGCUCAACCUGGAGUCGCCAUCCGAUACUGUCAUGGCUAGAGUCCGGUAGGGGCCCACGGAAUUCCUGGUGUAGCGGUGAAAUGCGCAGAUAUCAGGAGGAACACCGGUGGCGAAGGCGGUGGGCUGGGCCGGCACUGACGCUGAGGAGCGAAAGCGUGGGGAGCGAACAGG